UACGGAGGAUGCGAGCGUUAUCCGGAUUUAUUGGGUUUAAAGGGUGCGUAGGCGGUCCGUUAAGUCAGCGGUAAAAUUGCGGGGCUCAACCCCGUCGAGCCGUUGAAACUAGCAGACUUGAGUUGGCGAGAAGUACGCGGAAUGCGCGGUGUAGCGGUGAAAUGCAUAGAUAUCGCGCAGAACUCCGAUUGCGAAGGCAGCGUACCGGCGCCAGACUGACGCUGAGGCACGAAAGCGUGGGGAUCGAACAGG
rnacentral:rRNA from 1 species